AAAAAGAAACCACAUAAAAGAAACAGAUUGUGAGAAGUUUAAUAAAUGGCGUCGAUUCAUUUGUUGAUAGUUUUGAAAUGGUGAAUGAUUCUACGUAUUGUUAUCAGUUUUAUGUGGGGUUGGAGAAAUGUUGUGGGGAUUUGGAGGGAGUUUUGUUCCACAGCCAGGUGUCGGUGGUUGCUGUAUGUUAUGCGGGAGGUGGUGGGAAGAGUGCUCUAGAUUCUGCUCUAUGAAAUUUUCUUCAAAUUGAAGAAAAUGUGAGGAAAAUUUAUUAUUUGAAGGUCCAUGAUACAAAACUUAUGACUACCAAAGACAAAUCCACAAUCCUGUCAACCCUCGCUACAGAACUCUCUCAAUUAUCAUUGUUGGGCCCAGACGAUGCUCUGUUGCUUCUCUACUCCUGGGCUUUUAGACAGAAAUUUUAAGCGCUACGGAUGCAAAUAUAGUAAAGGAGGAAGUGUAGGUGCAAGCAGAAUGUGAUGGUCUGCCACUUGCUCUCAAGGUGAUUGGGAGCUCUUCGCAUGGGGAACCCCAAGAGGAUUGAAGAAGAGCAAAAACCAAGAUUUGUAGAGGAGAAAACACAUCAGAUUGUCACAGAGAAAGGCUAUGUAGAUUGAUACAGACCAGUAUUGACUCCUUAGAUGAUGCAACUAAUGAAUGUUUCUUAGAAUUGGUGUUAUUUUUAGAGGACAAGAAAAUCUGUGGCGAUACACUAUUGGAUAUUUGUGUUUAUGUUCGAAACCUGCGAAGGUGUGAUGCUUUUGGUAUCUUAUCUGAACUUGCAAGGGCAAUCCUGUUAAAUUUAAGUAGUAAUAUAAGAGGAACUACAACAAUCCCAUAUGAAAAUGCCUCGGAGCUAUACUUCUCUCAGCACGAUGUAAUGGCAGAUUUGACCUUUUUAUUUGGCAUACCAAGAAAAUGUAGUCGACAGCAAGAGGUUGGGUAAAGGGAGUUGCUUAAUGAUCGUGCAUUUGAUACUUAAAUACUCUCCACUCCCACUGGUAUGUUAUUCAAAAGCUUUUACAGAAACAUUUCGGCCCCCAAUUUUUUUUUCAUAUGUUAAUCAUUAUGUUCAUGAUCAUCUUUGAUGCCAAAUUAUAGAUUAGACUUGAAUUUCAAACAUGAUUUUCUUCAUAUUAUAACGUUUGUAUCACUCUUCAAGUAAAUUCAAACGGCCUAUCAUAAGACUUUGAUAUCCCAAUCAUUUGUUCAGCAGGUAAGCUCAACUGCCUCUGUAACCUACUUUUUUGGACCUACCUUUUUGGAUGUUCAAAAUGUCCUAUUCCCUAAUAAGCAACAAUAUACAACACUGCUGUUUUCAAUUCUCAGAUUUUUCAUGCUGUAGUAUUAAGCACCCUUCUUUUUCUGCAUCGCAAAAAUAAGCUCUUUUUUUUCCUUACCAUAUAUCCAUUCAUGGAUUCAACUUCAAUAUGACAAGAAUAUAACCUAUAUAACUGAUAUUCAUAAUUAAUGCAAAAGGUUUUAAUUGGAUUUCCUUUUUGAUUUGUACAUUCAGAACCUAUGGAGGAAAUCACUGGCAUGAUAUGAAUUUCCCUGAGACAGAGGCUCUGUUACUCCUUUGUGGGAUAGAAGACUUUCUUGAGUCUUCCCCCAUAUUUGAAAUCCAUAAAAAAACUAAUUUUUUUUAUGGUAUUAAUUUGUGAUACAAAGAAGGCAACAGUGAAAGGGCUAGAUGGCUUAGCUUUAAUUUGGAGAUAUUGAUUUCACCCCUUGUUGAAAAUGAGUUAUGAAGAAUACAGAGCUUGGAGAAAAUAUCUUUGAGCUCAUGUGAAGGAUUUGGAAAUAUAUACACAUUCAACACAAGCAAUCUUAUAUCAGAUCAAAGCAGCCAGUUUGAAGAGUUAGCCCUUGAUAUCUUGAAUAUGUCCUCCUCUCUGUCAUGGUCUAUUACCAAUGGCUCAGCACAAAAAGCCAUCACGUAAACACUGACACUAUGUGCUUAAUGUGCUGACAGUUUACAGUGGAGGUGUGCUUCCACAAUUUUAACUCUAAGCUCUAGAUUAGAAAUUUUCUUGGCAAGCAACCACUUUCCCAAUUUUCUCAUCACAUACAACAAGCUUCAGGGAACUUAGGUUACAAAUAGUUGUAGUAAACCUCAUCAAACGGGAACAUUCUGUUGUAUCAAAUUCCCUCAAUUUCCUGAGUUGUCCUAUUUCCUCUGGAAGUUCUUCCAAACCCUCGCAUACUGAAAUAUCUAGAUAUUCUAACUAUCCAAGUUUUACAAUUAAUACUGGGAGCUCUUUCAGGACCGGUAAAGUCAGUAAUUUUGAUAUCAUUAGAUGGCUCACAUUUCGAAGAUCAUAUGGUAAAUUCCGAAGCAGAUGUCGGUUGGGGAAAAGCUUAAGGAGCUACCAUGCUCUGGUGAACCUGCUGCCUUUUUACAUUACCCUCAGUUCUAUUAAUUACCAUUGUUGGGCCCAAAGGCUGUUCUGUUGCUUUUCUGCUUCUGCGUUUUUGGACAGAUAUCAAGUCUAAGCACUAUUAAUGCAAAUCUCAUAAAGCAGAAAAGGACUAUUUAGAUUGCUGCAGACCAGUAUUGAUUCCUUAGAUUAGUGUUUCUUAGGCUUGGAGUUAUUUCCAGAGGACAAGAAAUUCAGUGGUGAUGCACUAUUAGUUAUUUGGCUUUAUGUUCGAAACCUACAAAGGCAUGACGCUUUUGCUCUUUCAUCUAGAGCUUGCAAGCAAAAACCUGUUAAAUUUAACAGCAUUCUAAGGGGAAGUAAAACAAUCCCAUAUGGAAAUGUCUCGGAACUAUGCUUUUCUUAGCAUGAUGUAAUGUGAGAUCUGUCCCUGUAUUUGGCACACCAAGACGAUGUAGUCAACAGCAAGAGGUUCGUCAUAACAAACAGGGAAUCUGGUUUGUUAGCUGAAGGGGAUUUGCUUAAUAAUAAUGCAUUUGAUACUCAAAUGCUCUCCAUUUUCACCGGUGAGAUAUUUACAAAUGGAUUUCGUCCAAAUAUAUAUGUUUUGGAAAUGCUAACCAUUAUUUUUUAUGUUCACCUGUAAUAUUAAAUUGUGUUUUUUAUGUUCACCUGCAAUAUUAAAUUGUGGUCGAAAUUCAAGCAUUUUUUUCUGUAUAAUAUUGCUUUAUCUUCUUUGUUGUGACAAAAUCUAUAUCGGAUUGACAUUGAAAACUAAUACUAAGUCUUUAAUAUUCUAAUCCCUUGUUCAGUGGGUGAACUCAGCUGUGUAUGUAAAUUAUUCAAACUAUCUAGAUUUUUUGGAUGCAACACUUACUGUUUUCAAAUUUCAACUGUCUUAUCAUCACUCACUUAACAGUGUCCGCUUGGAGAGGUUGAUUUCACCCCUUGGUGAAAAACUGAGCAUUGAAGCACUGCAGAACUCAGAGAAGCUAUGUUUGAGCUUAUGUGAAGGAUUUGGAAAUAUAUCCACAUUCAUCAACACCCAGCUGCCAGAUUUUAACCUCGACCAUAGCAGUGAUUUGGAGGAGUGACCCCUCAGUAUUUGCAAUAUACCCCCCGCCCUUUCAUGCUCUAUUACCAACUUUCGUCUGCUUCAAAAUUUGCCAUAUGAUUUUGAAAAUAUGAGCUGUCUAAGAAUGUCAAGGUUAUUAGCAUUACCAUGCCUGGAACAGCUUCCUGUGUCAAUUGGAAAACUUGGACGGUCGGAAUAUCUAGACAUUUCGCUAUGUGAGGGCUUGAAAGAACUUACAAAGGAAAUAGAACAACUCAAGAAAUUGAGGGAGCUUGAUAUGAGAGAGUGUUCUCUUUUGAUGACGUUACCUUCAACUGUUUGUGAACUAAGUUCCCUGAAGCUUGUUACCUGUGAUGAGACAAUUGGGAAGCAGUGGUUGUGGGCCAAGAACAUUUCUAUUUUUUAGCUUAGAGUUGAAAUUGUGGAAGUACAAUUUACUUUGAAUUGGUUUCAUGAUUGACUUCUUUCUUAUCUUUCAUCUUGAAGGACAAGAUCCAAGGUUCUUGACAUCCAUGUUAAGUUUCAAUACAUUUUGAUACCCACUGGCACAAAUCAAUAUAAGUUCAUGUAUAUUUUCAGCCUA